CAAAGUCACUCUCAAGGCCCUCUUGAGGGAGUAUGCCGACUCCAAAAGGAGAAAGAAGAAGACGCAUCGGGUGGAUGUGGAACGGUGGAAGAGUAGAACCCAAAGAAAAAGAGGGGUUUAUGUGUCGAAACUUUCAAAGCCUUUUGUCUUUAAACAAAAGAAGAAUGAGAUAAGUGUUUUUGAGAAAUUUGCCAUUAAGUAUAAAGUACAGAAUAACCUAUGGUGUGUCUGUUUAUUUUAGGGAAAUUGAUCAGAAAACAUAAAAAAACAUCUGAAAAUCGUUCUCCAUCUCAGAGUCCCCAAGGCAAAAUACAACCUCCAUCUUCACUGGUCAGUGACACUGCAGAAGAUCUCGAAUCACAAGUCACAAAACUGUGGAAAAAAAGAGACACAGAAGUGGUUAUUUCUGUGGUGCCCUCUCAAAUUACAGGGCACAACUUUGUAAUUCACCACAGUGAGUUCAGAACACUAAGGCCUCACCAGUGGCUUGUAGGCGAGGUAAGUACUUUCAUUAAAGUAACCAAACCACUAAUCAUAAAGACAUAAAAACAAGUGAAGCUGCUAACAGCAACGAUCACGCCCUUUUAAUGUAGCUACCUUUGAAAAUUCUUUUUGAUUUCAUACUCAAAGUAUGUGAUUUAUUAUCUUUGGUUUGUUUUGUGUUAGGG